UAACCAAGGAGUGUGGAGACACUAGUAUGGCAUACAGGUGAGAUGUAAGGGUACAUCUGCACUGAACAUGACCGACUCUGGAGCUAUCUCUGCUGUCAAGAUUUGCUCUGAUGGGAUAUGGGUAUAAAUAUCCCUCCGACCUGAGACUGCCAUGGUGACUUGCAAGCAACUCACUGUACCUAGGCACUGGACUACCUGAAUUUCUAAUUCAGUG
rnacentral:lncRNA from 1 species